rfam:Dipodomys ordii contig_5453, whole genome shotgun sequence.
GGGAAUGUGGUUCAUUGGUAGAGCACUUGCCUUGCAUGCAUGAGGCCCUAGGUUUGAUUCCUCAGCACCA